UGGGGAAUAUUGCACAAUGGAGGGAACUCUGAUGCAGCGACGCCGCGUGAACGAAGAAGGCUUUCGAGUCGUAAAGUUCUUUUAUAUGGGAAGAUAAUGACGGUACCAUAAGAAAAAGCCCCGGCUAACUACGUGCCAGCAGCCGCGGUAAUACGUAGGGGGCUAGCGUUGUCCGGAAUCACUGAGCGUAAAGGGUUCGCAGGCGGAAAUGCAAGUCAGGUGUAAAAGGCAGUAGCUUAACUACUGUAAGCAUUUGAAACUGCAUAUCUUGAGAAGAGUAGAGGUAAGUGGAAUUUUUAGUGUAGCGGUGAAAUGCGUAGAUAUUAAAAAGAAUACCGGUGGCGAAGGCGGCUUACUGGGCUCAUUCUGACGCUGAGGAACGAAAGCGUGGGUAGCAAACAGG
rnacentral:rRNA from 1 species